rnacentral:rRNA from 1 species
UACGAAGGGGGCUAGCGUUGCUCGGAAUCACUGGGCGUAAAGGGUGCGUAGGCGGGUUUUUAAGUCAGGGGUGAAAUCCCGGGGCUCAACCUCGGAACUGCCUUUGAUACAGCAAGUCUUGAGUUCGAGAGAGGUGGGUGGAAUUCCUAGUGUAGAGGUGAAAUUCGUAGAUAUUAGGAAGAACACCAGUGGCGAAAGGCGGCUCACUGGCCCGAUACUGACGCUGAGGUGCGAAAGCGUGGGGAGCAAACAGG